rnacentral:misc_RNA from 1 species
UCCUGGUUAACCCAGGCAGUCUCAUUAGAGUUCCCACCUCGCGUGUUGGCAACUAAUGAUAAGGGUUGCGCUCGUUGCGGGACUUAACCCAACACCUCACGGCACGAGCUGACGACAGCCAUGCAGCACCUACUCAGCAGUCCUUGCGGAAGUUACCAUCUCUGGUACUGUCUCCUGAAUUUCAAACCUGGGUAAGGUUCUUCGCGUUGCAUCGAAUUAAACCACAUGCUCCACUGCUUGUGCGGGCCCCCGUCAAUUCUUUUGAGUUUCACCCUUGCGAGCGUACUCCUCAGGCGGUAUACUUAUCGCGUUAGCUUCGACACAGUCAGGGUUGAGCCUAACUACAUCAAGUAUACAUCGUUUACGGCAAGGACUAC